GAUGAACGCUGGCGGCGUGCCUAAUACAUGCAAGUCGAUCGAACGGACGAGAAGCUUGCUUCUCUGAUGUUAGCGGCGGACGGGUGAGUAACACGUGGAUAACCUACCUAUAAGACUGGGAUAACUUCGGGAAACCGUAGCUAAUACCGGAUAAUAUUUUGAACCGCAUGGUUCAAAAGUGAAAGACGGUCUUGCUGUCACUUAUAGAUGGAUCCGCGCUGCAUUAGCUAGUUGGUAAGGUAACGGCUUACCAAGGCAACGAUGCAUAGCCGACCUGAGAGGGUGAUCGGCCACACUGGAACUGAGACACGGUCCAGACUCCUACGGGAGGCAGCAGUAGGGAAUCUUCCGCAAUGGGCGAAAGCCUGACGGAGCAACGCCGCGUGAGUGAUGAAGGUCUUCGGAUCGUAAAACUCUGUUAUUAGGGAAGAACAUAUGUGUAAGUAACUGUGCACAUCUUGACGGUACCUAAUCAGAAAGCCACGGCUAACUACGUG
rnacentral:rRNA from 1 species